CGGCGAGGGGAGUGAAAAAGAACCUGAAACCGUGUACGUACAAGCAGUGGGAGCACGCUUAGGCGUGUGACUGCGUACCUUUUGUAUAAUGGGUCAGCGACUUAUAUUCUGUAGCAAGGUUAACCGAAUAGGGGAGCCGAAGGGAAACCGAGUCUUAACUGGGCGUUAAGUUGCAGGGUAUAGACCCGAAACCCGGUGAUCUAGCCAUGGGCAGGUUGAAGGUUGGGUAACACUAACUGGAGGACCGAACCGACUAAUGUUGAAAAAUUAGCGGAUGACUUGUGGCUGGGGGUGAAAGGCCAAUCAAACCGGGAGAUAGCUGGUUCUCCCCGAAAGCUAUUUAGGUAGCGCCUCGUGAAUUCAUCUCCGGGGGUAGAGCACUGUUUCGGCAAGGGGGUCAUCCCGACUUACCAACCCGAUGCAAACUGCGAAUACCGGAGAAUGUUAUCACGGGAGACACACGGCGGGUGCUAACGUCCGUCGUGAAGAGGGAAACAACCCAGACCGCCAGCUAAGGUCCCAAAGUCAUGGUUAAGUGGGAAACGAUGUGGGAAGGCCCAGACAGCCAGGAUGUUGGCUUAGAAGCAGCCAUCAUUUAAAGAAAGCGUAAUAGCUCACUGGUCGAGUCGGCCUGCGCGGAAGAUGUAACGGGGCUAAACCAUGCAC
rnacentral:rRNA from 1 species